UACCUCGUUCCUCACAAAUGUCGGAUGAGAGUGAGAAGCUGAUUGUGAUGGGUGACUGGUCAGCAUCAUUCUGCACUACAGGAGCUAGACACGAGGAAAGCAGAUUGCAGUGCUUAGAAACACACAUGGAAAGGAUGUGUGAAGGAGAGGAGGGAAGUAGAACAAUGUCCUGGAAAUGAAAGCAAUCACCUGGUCAAAGAAAUAUAUGGGUCCUGCCUCUGGCACUGCAGCUAUUCCUCUUGGGACAGAUGCAGAACACAUACUUCAGUCCUCCCUCCUCCUCCUCUUUCCAAGAUGAACCUGCAGCUGUCAGAGACAGCUCCCCCCUCCACUCCAUGCCAUUUCCUGACAUAUAUACAGCUUGAAAACAGCAACAACAACAACAAAUUAAAACAUA